rnacentral:tRNA from 1 species
GGAGAGGUGGCCGAGUGGCUGAAGGCGCACGCUUGGAAAGCGUGUAAGCGUUAAUCCGCUUCGAGGGUUCGAAUCCCUUCCUCUCCUCCA